rnacentral:tRNA from 1 species
GAGCGUAGCUCAGUUGGUAGAGCAGCGGACUCUUAAUCCGUCGGUCUAGGGUUCGAAUCCCUACGC